UACAGAGGGUGCAAGCGUUGUUCGGAAUUAUUGGGCGUAAAGGGGAGGUAGGUGGUCUCAUUUGUCUGGGGUGAAAUCCCAGGGCUUAACCCUGGACGUGCCUCAGAAACGGUGAGACUAGAGUGCUGGAGAGGUUUGUGGAAUUCCCGGUGUAGCGGUGAAAUGCGUAGAGAUCGGGAGGAACACCAGAGGCGAAGGCGGCAAACUGGACAGUUACUGACACUCAACUCCGAAAGCGUGGGGAGCAAACAGG
rnacentral:rRNA from 1 species